rnacentral:rRNA from 1 species
UACAGAGGGGGCAAGCGUUAUUCGGAAUUAUUGGGCGUAAAGGGCGCGUAGGCGGCCUGGCAAGUGGAAGGUGAAAUCCCUCGGCUUAACCGAGGAACUGCCCUCUAAACUGCUUGGCUUGAGUCCGGGAGAGGUGAGUGGAAUUCCCAGUGUAGCGGUGAAAUGCGUAGAUAUUGGGAGGAACACCAGUGGCGAAGGCGGCUCACUGGACCGGAACUGACGCUGAGGCGCGAAAGCGUGGGGAGCAAACGGG